AGCUGUCUUCGCGGUUGGGUAUUAUUGUUAGUGUGGCAACUGUGAUUACCUUAUACGCCGAGUUUAUUUGUCAGAUGACAGCUUAGCAUGCCUAAACAUGAAGUCGUAAAGAUAGCCGUUCGCCGGGAUCCUUUAAAUCGAAUUCCCGCGGCCGCCAUGGCGGCCGACCAUGCGACGUCGCCCAAUUCCCUAAGUAGUCCCCAUAUUAAUGAUCACGGUCCCCAUGGCGGCACUGAUAAAUAUUCAUAGGGGAUGGAUGGGCUCGCUGACAUUAGCUUGUUGGGAGGUAACGGCUCACCAAGGCACGAUGUUAGGGCUCUGAGAGGAGAAACCCCNACACUGGUACUGAGACACGGACCAUACUCCUACGGGAGGCAGCAUAAGGAAUAUUGUCAAUGGGGGCAACCCUAACCACAUGCCUUCAGAAGACGGCCCUACGUUGUAAACUGUUUUGUCGAAUAACCCUCUUACUGUAUGGAGCUAAUGUACCGUAAGA
rnacentral:rRNA from 1 species